GGUAAGGUGUGAAAUGAACUCCAUCACCUGGUUGGUGGAUAUCAAGUUGCUGCCAUCUACCUCUAUCAGGCGAUACAGUUUAUCAAGGACCUAAAGAAGGAUUUAAGGAUCUUAAGGAAUUAUUUUUGACCUAUCAAUCACAUAGGCCACCGACUCAAUCUGUUCGGCGAAGUCCAUCUGGCGAUCGUCGCUGAAAGAGGCCAAGAUACGUACAUAUAAACACUUCAAAUUUAACGAUACCCAAUAUAGGUACUCCCACCGCUCUUGGUAUGGCUACACAGAAAAAGAUUACUAAGAAUACGAUAUUCUGAAAAUCAAAAGAUCAUAUGUAAAGCACUUGGCAGACGAAUGCCAAAUUAUUUUGAUUAGUGUGUACGUUCAAAGAGAAAUGUGUACAUUAACAAGGCGUGAUGAUGUUAUGCGUUGUAUGGCGAUUUAAUUGUUCUGGAUCUGGCUUUAUAAAUGUGUGAUACGAUAUGAUAUCGUUUUCAUUCUUAUUUUUUUUCUGUGCACGCAAUACCCGAACUCCCUAACCCGAACCCGCAUCCCCAGAUAUCGCUGCUGCUGCUCGCACUAUAUUUGUAUUUGAAUGACUUCAUUACGACAGGCAGCCAAUGACAGUUUCUGGCUGCAGAGCAGAGUGGAGCUCCAAUCCAGAGCCAACUUUAGAGGCAACUGUCGAGGCACGCGGACUAUGUUAGCUGUUGUAUAUGUUAACACACGGCGCAGAUAGCAUCGCCAUGGGCAACGGACAUCGUCUGGGAACGGAGCUGGCAUUGGCAUCUGGCAUCUGGGGCUUCUGGUCGGCGCAGCUGGAAUGCCUGGAGCACGCCAGCCAGGUGCGUGUGUGGAUCCGCCUAGUGGAUCGGAUCGCAUCGCAUCGGAUGGGAUGACUAUUUUCUCCAAGGCGAGCUAAUUGUUUUGGCACCGUUGCAGCAGCAACAGCAGCAGCAGCGAUCUCAGAGGAUAGGAUCCUCCACCUCCUCGAGCAACCCACACUUACGUUAGCC